rnacentral:rRNA from 1 species
UUUGGUUAAGUUAGAAAGGGCGCACGGUGGAUGCCUUGACACUAGGAGUCGAUGAAGGACGGGACUAACGCCGAUAUGCUUCGGGGAGCUGUAAGUAAGCUUUGAUCCGAAGAUUUCCGAAUGGGGAAACCCACCAUACGUAAUGGUAUGGUAUCCUUAUCUGAAUACAUAGGGUAAGGAAGACAGACCCAGGGAACUGAAACAUCUAAGUACCUGGAGGAAGAGAAAGCAAAUGCGAUUUCCUGAGUAGCGGCGAGCGAAACGGAACAUAGCCCAAACCAAGAGGCUUGCCUCUUGGGGUUGUAGGACAUUCUAUACGGAGUUACAAAGGAACGAGGUAGACGAAGCGACCUGGAAAGGUCCGUCGUAGAGGGUAACAACCCCGUAGUCGAAACUUCGUUCUCUCUUGAAUGUAUCCUGAGUACGGCGGAACACGUGAAAUUCCGUCGGAAUCUGGGAGGACCAUCUCCCAAGGCUAAAUACUCCCUAGUGAUCGAUAGUGAACCAGUACCGUGAGGGAAAGGUGAAAAGCACCCCGGAAGGGGAGUGAAAGAGAUCCUGAAACCGUGUGCCUACAAAUAGUCAGAGCCCGUUAACGGGUGAUGGCGUGCCUUUUGUAGAAUGAACCGGCGAGUUACGAUCCCGUGCAAGGUUAAGCUGAAGAGGCGGAGCCGCAGCGAAAGCGAGUCUGAAUAGGGCGUUUAGUACGUGGUCGUAGACCCGAAACCAGGUGAUCUACCCAUGUCCAGGGUGAAGUUCAGGUAACACUGAAUGGAGGCCCGAACCCACGCACGUUGAAAAGUGCGGGGAUGAGGUGUGGGUAGCGGAGAAAUUCCAAUCGAACCUGGAGAUAGCUGGUUCUCCCCGAAAUAGCUUUAGGGCUAGCCUUAAGUGUAAGAGUCUUGGAGGUAGAGCACUGAUUGGACUAGGGGUCCUCAUCGGAUUACCGAAUUCAGUCAAACUCCGAAUGCCAAUGACUUAUCCUUAGGAGUCAGACUGCGAGUGAUAAGAUCCGUAGUCAAAAGGGAAACAGCCCAGACCGCCAGCUAAGGUCCCAAAGUGUGUAUUAAGUGGAAAAGGAUGUGGAGUUGCUUAGACAACUAGGAUGUUGGCUUAGAAGCAGCCACCAUUUAAAGAGUGCGUAAUAGCUCACUAGUCGAGUGACUCUGCGCCGAAAAUGUACCGGGGCUAAAUACACCACCGAAGCUGCGGAUUGAUACCAAUGGUAUCAGUGGUAGGGGAGCGUUCUAAGGACAGUGAAGUCAGACCGUAAGGACUGGUGGAGUGCUUAGAAGUGAGAAUGCCGGUAUGAGUAGCGAAAGACGGGUGAGAAUCCCGUCCACCGAAUGCCUAAGGUUUCCUGAGGAAGGCUCGUCCGCUCAGGGUUAGUCAGGACCUAAGCCGAGGCCGACAGGCGUAGGCGAUGGACAACAGGUUGAUAUUCCUGUACCACCUCUUUAUCGUUUGAGCAAUGGAGGGACGCAGAAGGAUAGAAGAAGCGUGCGAUUGGUUGUGCACGUCCAAGCAGUUAGGCUGAUAAGUAGGCAAAUCCGCUUAUCAUAAAGGCUGAGCUGUGAUGGGGAAGCUCCUUAUGGAGCGAAGUCUUUGAUUCCCCGCUGCCAAGAAAAGCUUCUAGCGAGAUAAAAGGUGCCUGUACCGCAAACCGACACAGGUAGGCGAGGAGAGAAUCCUAAGGUGUGCGAGAGAACUCUGGUUAAGGAACUCGGCAAAAUGACCCCGUAACUUCGGGAGAAGGGGUGCUUUCUUAACGGAAAGCCGCAGUGAAUAGGCCCAAGCGACUGUUUAGCAAAAACACAGCUCUCUGCGAAGCCGUAAGGCGAAGUAUAGGGGGUGACACCUGCCCGGUGCUGGAAGGUUAAGGAGAGGGGUUAGCGUAAGCGAAGCUCUGAACUGAAGCCCCAGUAAACGGCGGCCGUAACUAUAACGGUCCUAAGGUAGCGAAAUUCCUUGUCGGGUAAGUUCCGACCCGCACGAAAGGUGUAACGAUUUGGGCACUGUCUCAACCAGAGACUCGGUGAAAUUAUAGUACCUGUGAAGAUGCAGGUUACCCGCGACAGGACGGAAAGACCCCGUGGAGCUUUACUGUAGCCUGAUAUUGAAUUUUGGUACAGUUUGUACAGGAUAGGCGGGAGCCAUUGAAACCGGAGCGCUAGCUUCGGUGGAGGCGCUGGUGGGAUACCGCCCUGACUGUAUUGAAAUUCUAACCUACGGGUCUUAUCGACCCGGGAGACAGUGUCAGGUGGGCAGUUUGACUGGGGCGGUCGCCUCCUAAAGUGUAACGGAGGCGCCCAAAGGUUCCCUCAGAAUGGUUGGAAAUCAUUCGUAGAGUGCAAAGGCAUAAGGGAGCUUGACUGCGAGACCUACAAGUCGAGCAGGGACGAAAGUCGGGCUUAGUGAUCCGGUGGUUCCGCAUGGAAGGGCCAUCGCUCAACGGAUAAAAGCUACCCCGGGGAUAACAGGCUUAUCUCCCCCAAGAGUCCACAUCGACGGGGAGGUUUGGCACCUCGAUGUCGGCUCAUCGCAUCCUGGGGCUGUAGUCGGUCCCAAGGGUUGGGCUGUUCGCCCAUUAAAGCGGUACGCGAGCUGGGUUCAGAACGUCGUGAGACAGUUCGGUCCCUAUCCGUCGUGGGCGUAGGAAAUUUGAGAGGAGCUGUCCUUAGUACGAGAGGACCGGGAUGGACGCACCGCUGGUGUACCAGUUGUUCUGCCAAGGGCAUAGCUGGGUAGCUAUGUGCGGAAGGGAUAAGUGCUGAAAGCAUCUAAGCAUGAAGCCCCCCUCAAGAUGAGAUUUCCCAUAGCGUAAGCUAGUAAGAUCCCUGAAAGAUGAUCAGGUUGAUAGGUUCGAGGUGGAAGCAUGGUGACAUGUGGAGCUGACGAAUACUAAUAGAUCGAGGACUUAACCAUAUAA